rnacentral:rRNA from 1 species
AAAACAUUUUUCCUCUCUAGUAUGGGCGACAGAAAGAGACCUAGAAGCGAUAGAGAUAGUACCGCAAGGGAAAGCUGAAAGAGAGGUGAAAAAGUUCAGUAAAGCGAAGAAAAGCAGAGAUUGGCCCUCGUACCUUUUGCAUCAUGAGUUAGCCAGUAUAAGCGAGCAAGAAGCAACAUAGCCCGCCACCCCGAAACGAAGUGAGCUACUCCAGGACAGCCUAUUUUAGGGCCAACCCGUCUCUGUGGCAAAAGAGUGGGAAGAUCUUCGAGUAGAAGUGACAAACUUACCGAACUCCGUUAUAGCUGGUUGCCCGGAAAAUGGAUAUCAGUUCAGCCCCUCACCCCCCUCCACUCACACACCAUGUUAUGGUAUUAUGACAGCGACGGAGGCCAGGGAGUUAUUCACAGGGGGUACAGCCCCUCUGAACCAAGAUACAACUUUCUAAGGAGGAAAAGGAUUAUACUACAAGAGCAAGGGACCUGCGCCUCAGUGGGCCUAAAAGCAGCCACCUGGACCGAAAGCGUUAAAGCUCAAGCGCAAAACCAGCCCCCAUAUACUAAUAAGACUAUCCCAAGCCCCCAAACCUACCGGGCUUUUCUACUCAGUAGAAGAAAAAAUGCUAGCAUGAGUAACAAGAGGGUACGCACCUCUCCCGGCACACGCAUAAAUCAGCACGGACCCGCCGCCGAAGAUUAACGGACCCAACAAAAGAGGGAAGUGGCAAGAAGCAGACCGACUGGGAAAACACCCACCCCUACCCGUUAACCCCACACUGGUGUGCCCCAAGGAAAGACUAAAGGGAAAAGAAGGAACUCGGCAAACCGCAAGCCUCGCCUGUUUACCAAAAACAUCGCCUCUUGCAAACGCUUGUAGAAUAAGAGGUCGAGCCUGCCCAGUGACACUAUGUUCAACGGCCGCAGUAUUUUAACUGUGCUAAGGUAGCGCAAUCACUUGUCUUUUAAAUGAGGACCUGUAUGAAAGGCGUGACGAGGGCUUAACUGUCUCCUUUUCCCGGUCAGUGAAAUUGAUCUCCCCGUGCAGAAGCGGGGAUCGAACCAUAAGACGAGAAGACCCUGUGGAGCUUGAGACGUCAGGGCAGUCCAUGUAAACAGCCUUUCCCCCAAGGCCAACAAGCAUAAUGGGCCCUACCCUAGUGUCUUCGGUUGGGGCGACCAUGGGGAAUAUCAAACCCCCAUGAAGAAUGGGAGCACUAACGAGGGAUCUCCCCACCAAACCCACAACGCCGCUCCUAGAAACCAGAGCCCCCACUCUGGUCAGCGGAAUAUUCGACUUAGACUGAUCCGGACUAACCGAUCAACGAACCAAGUUACCCCAGGGAUAACAGCGCCAU